GUGUACUACUCCCACGUGUUGCAGAUGUUGUUCUUCAGCUAUUGUCAAGGCAAAUCAUUUGCAGCCACCAUCAGCAGGACAACCCUGGAGGUGUUGCAACUCUUCCCCAUCAACAUCAAAAGUGGUCUGAGGUGAUGAACCACCCUGGCUUGGUGUGCUGUGUCCAGCAAACUACAGGGGUGC
rnacentral:sRNA from 1 species